rnacentral:rRNA from 1 species
UCUGGUUGAUCCUCCCAGUAGUCAUAUGCUUGUCUCAUAGCUUAAGCCAUGCAAGUCUAAGGGCAAACUUGAACAAAGUGAAACCGCGAAAAGCUCAUUAAAUCAGUCAUGGUUCACUGGAGCCUAUUCACCUUGAAUGGAUAACUGUGGUAAUCCUAGAGCUAAUACAUGCAACUAAGUCCCGUCCAGUGAUGGUAAGGACGCUUUUAUUAGAUCAAAACCAAACGGAUUCGUCCGUCUAUUUUGAUGACUCUGAGUAACACACAACUGAUCGCAACGGUCCUCGUACCGGCGACUCAUCUUUCAAAUGACUGACUUAUCAACUGUCGAUGGUAGAUUAAAUGUCUACCAUGGUUGUUACGGGUAACGGGGAAUCAGGGUUCGAUUCCGGAGAGGGAGCCUGAGAAACUGCUACCACAUCCAAGGAAGGCAGCAGGCACGCAAAUUACCCACUCCCGGCACGGGGAGGUAGUGACAAAAAAUAACGAUACGGGACUCAUCCGAGGCCCCGUAAUCGGAAUGAGUACACUUUAAAUCCUUUAACGAGGAUCUAUUGGAGGGCAAGCCUGGUGCCAGCAGCCGCGGUAAUUCCAGCUCCAAUGGCGUAUAUUAAAGUUGUUGCGGUUAAAAAGCUCGUAGUUGGUUCUGUGUGCCACGCUGUCGGUUCACCGCCUGCCGGUGCAACUGGCAUGCCGUGGGAUGUCUUGCCGGAGGGGGCCGAGGUUCGCAGCGCAGGCUUCGCGUCUCGCUGCCGGGCCGAGGUCCUCGAUCACGCUGCCACGGUGCUCUUCAUCGAGUGUCGGGGCAGGCCGACAAGACUACUUUGAACAAAUUAGAGUGCUUAAAGCAGGCCUAACGUUGCCUGAAUAGUUGUGCAUGGAAUAAUGGAAUAGGACCUUGUUUCUGUUUUGUUGGCUUUCGGAAUUCAAGGUAAUGAUCAAUGUGGACAGGCGGGGGCAUUCGUAUUGCGACGUUAGAGGUGAAAUUCUUGGAUCGUCGCAAGACGAACUAGAGCGAAAGCAUUUGCCAAGUAUGUCUUAGUUGAUCAAGAACGAAAGUUAGAGGCUCGAAGGCGAUCAGAUACCGCCCUAGUUCUAACCAUAAACGAUGCUAGCCAGCAAUCCGCCGAUGUUCCUCCGAUGACUCGGCGGGCAACCCCCGGGAAACCAAAGCUUUUGGGUUCCGGGGGAAGUAUGGUUGCAAAGCUGAAACUUAAAGGAAUUGACGGAAGGGCACCACCAGGAGUGGAGCCUGCGGCUUAAUUUGACUCAACACGGGAAACCUCACCGGGC